rnacentral:rRNA from 1 species
GACGAACGCUGGCGGCGUGCUUAACACAUGCAAGUCGAACGGAAACGCCCUGCUGUUGUGGGGUGCUCGAGUGGCGAACGAGUGAGUAACACGUGAGUAACCUGCCCUUGACUUUGGGAUAACUUCAGGAAACUGGGGCUAAUACCGGAUAGGAGCUCCUGCUGCAGGGUGGGGGUUGGAAAGUUUCGGCGGUUGGGGAUGGACUCGCGGCUUAUCAGCUUGUUGGUGGGGUAGUGGCUUACCACGGCUUUGACGGGUAGCCGGCCUGGGAGGGUGACCGGGGACAUGGGGACUGAGAGACGGCCCAGAGUCCUACGGGGGGCAGCAGGGGGGAAUAUUGCACAAUGGGCGGAAGCGUGAUGCAGAAACGCCGCGUGCGGGAUGACGGCUUUCGGGGUGUAAACCGCUUUCGCCUGUGACGAAGCGUGAGUGACGGUAAUGGGUAAAGAAGCACCGGCUAACUACGUG